rnacentral:rRNA from 1 species
CCCUUAGACACUCUAGGCGGCACGCGCGCUACAAUGGGUGGAAGACUGUGUUGCUGCCCUCGAAAGAGGGGGUGAAUCACGAAUUCUCACCCGUGAAUGGGAUAGUUUGUUGCAAUUUUCGGACUUGAACUAGGAAUCCCUUGUAAGCAUGCUCAAGAAUAGUGUGCUGAAUACGUCCCUGCCGUUUGUACACACCGCCCGUCGUUUCUUCCGACUGAUACGAAUUGUGAGUUGCAAGGACCUUCAGGGGGAAUUGCCGCGAAUGCUUCGUAUUGGAGGAAGAAAAAGUCGUAACA